GACUGCCAUCUCUCUUGCAGAACUGAUAUUUUAAGCUUCGCGUGUGGUUUUUGCUACUCAUAUUCAAACCUGGUGCAUAAAUAAUGCACUUUGCAGAACCUUUAAUUUCCUAAAAAGACUCUAUUGUUAGUAUGGAUCAUUUAUAAUUUACUCACUUAUUAGAACAUAAUUUAAGGUUAUCUCUGCUGCAAUCAGCUGAUUAAACACCACUGUCCUUUCUAUGAUAGAGUAUAAUUUGCUCAUCUAAAUUAAGCCUAAAUAUGCACUGAAAAAGUGCUUUAUGGUUUAGCAGCUCUAUUUCAUGCUUAGUCACAAUCAGCAGACUGAAAUCUUAUUAUAUGGUCAAUACUAAAUGUGUAACCCAACUAUGUAUUGUUAGUACUUGAUUUUUUGUUAAUUAGUCUAUUAAGAUUUAAUUAAUACCACAAACCUCAUAUAUGAGCCCCUUCUUCAAUUUUACUCAUUUACUCUCUCUUUUUCUAAAAUAUAGCAUUCUAAAAGAUUAUAUUUGUUGCUUUAACUGUUCUCUCGCAGUAAAAAACUCACAUAUUUAAAUGUCUGCCAGGAUUUUUCUCUGGAGUUGACAGGUUCUACCUGUGCAUGAGUAGAUGCUCUCUUCCUAAAACCAAAAGUGCACAAAUGAGAACAAUUGACUACUUAAAACUGCUCUCUCUAUACAUGUGUGUUCAUGGUUGUGUGCUCUCAUUGAUUGAUUGAUUUGUGACCUGCCCAGGUUGUACCCUGACUACUGCCUGUGCCCCUGCAAGGCAUAAGAGGAUGCAGAAUAUUGAUGCAUCAAUGUACAUGUGUAAUUGUUAUAUAAGUUAUUUCUUUUGCAAAACCAGACACUGGUAUGUUGGUUGGAAUUGGGUCUAUUUUAUGCUGUUUCAAUAUUCAUUCUAUUCAGGCCUCUGGCCCAGGUGAACAUAUGUUGUAUACCUAUUUUUAUAUUAGCAAAGUAUGAACGUUUAGAUUCUUCUUUUAUAUCUGUUAUUUGUUUUGUUUUUUUCUUUAUUAACAGGAUUUAAGAAAAUGCACUUAUGAUUCUGCUGAUCAAAGAUGAUGUCACUUUUGUAAAUGCACAAUACAGUAUCGUGUUUAUAGCCAUAGAUUUGGUCUGAUAAAUGCAUAAAGAAGGGUUAUGUAUUAUUACAAAAGCUUAUACUAUGCAUAGAUAUAGAUCACACUCAGACAAUCUGCUUUACUCUCAGUUACAAUUCCGCCUGUUUGGCUGAGAGGAUCUCUCUCAAAUUAUAGCAAAUUUACUAUUAAUUCAGAAAGUAACCUCUCUAUUGUGAGAGAUAUAAACCAUGUAUAAACAUCAGCUAAUAGCAGUUAAAAAAAAGAAAAAGAUAGAAAAACUCCAUGUUAAUACAAUAAAGUCACCUCUAUGCAAAAGGCUUCAAAGGAAACUGAGCACAUUGUUCAGUCAUAAUCUAUCUUUAUCAUCUGGGGAACUAGGGUGAGCCGGGAAAUAUGACUUUCCCUGAGAGUUAAAUAUACUGUAAAGUUAGUUUUCAAAUGCACUCAACAUGUUGUCAUAACUCAGCCAAACAAAGGAGAGGUUCUAUCUAUCCUAUCUGCAUGACAAGUUUUACUUUGCAGCAUGACGCUAAGCAAUGAGAAAUAAUUAAUUUGUUGCCUUUAUCACAUCUCAUAGAAUUUCUUAUGUAGGGUUAAAACAACUGUGCUAAAAUAUCCAAAGUUAAUACAUAACAUGUACCCCAUCUGACCCAUUUUUUAAUUUCCUCUAAGAACACCUCUAUAAUACUAUAAAAGUGGAAAAACACAGUAUACUAGUAGAAAUACAACAUUCUUGUUGUAGAGAGUUACUAGGUUUUGGUUGAUUGUAUAAUUUCUCACUGUGUGCUAUAACCUACACAUUUUAAAGCAGCAAAAAGCAAAAAAUGUACAUCUCAAAGUUUUGCUUCCUAUAGCGCCUUUUAAAUUUUAAAAGAGGGAUGUCCUGAUCCGAUCCCAGGUAACGUUUCUGUAUCCUGAUUAGAAGCUUUUAAGGUUUUUUGUUUUCAUUGCCAGAAUUGAAUUUUGGGACUAAAUUGAAUUGCUGAUACCUGUUGGUGUUAUGCUGUGAUUUUCUGAGCCUCACUGCCAUCCUGUAGUGCAGUUCCAAUGCAGUCCCUAUUUUCAAAAUCCCAUCUUAUUUUUGUUUUUAUGGCUUGAAAACUGUUAAGUAGACGUUGCACAUUACUUUAUUUAUCAAAAACAAUCUUGUUUAUUACAUGCAUGUAAUACGGUUCAAAACAUGACAAAAUCAAUCCUAUUUUCUUUAACAUCAGUCCUUUCACAAUCCAAAGUUGUCUUAGUUUAUAAAAAAACCAAAAACAAAUUGCUUUUUUGAAGCUUCGGUGGCUGAAAUUUAACAAGUAAUUAUACAUCAACAUUAGCCUAGCACCUUGUUCAGCAUGAACAUUUUGUUAACACUAGCGAAAUAUGACUUUACUUAAGAUUGUAGCUGAAUGUUCACUACCAAAUAAAUAUGUACUCUGACUUAGUAUUUGCAAAUGCCUGUUUUUAAAAGUAUUGGAUCCAUUACUACCAGGGACAAAACUUUGUGAUUAGGACAUCCCUAAUUUUUAUUUACAUUAAGGUUACUUAAUUUUUUUACAAAGCAGCAGUGUCAGAAAAUGUGAUUGCUGUAUAUAGCAGCAGUUUUUUAAGUUUUUUUUUAUUCACCAUGUUGUUAUAACUGACAAUAUGCAAUUGUUUUGUGGUUCCAAUUAAGACUAUGUAUAAUAAUAAGAAGCCAAUUGUGCUAGAAUAAAAUGUUUCUGUGUGUGAAUAUGUGCCAACGUUUAAAUGAAGAGAGGAUAUUUGGAUAUUUUCUGAUUCCUAUUACAGCUCCUCUGUUUGCCUGUGUUUGCUUUUUUUGUUUUGUUUUUAUAUAUAUAAUAAUGAUGUUUCGGUGUCAGCCUAAUUUGUAAAUAGAACACUUUAUCAGCAUUUUUUCAGUGCAAAGUUGUUCCACUUUUAAAGGCAAAAAAACCCUUGUUUUUUCUAUUUGGAAAAAACACAGAGCAACUAGGAAUAUGUGGGAUAAGUAUAGCUACAGUGUGCCGUUUUAUUUAGUAGUUAGCUAAUGAAUAAAAGAUAUGCAUUCAUUUGA